rnacentral:rRNA from 1 species
GCUGGAGUUACGGCGGAGGGUGAUAACACGUGGGUAACCUGCCUGUAAGACUGGGAUAACUCCGGGAAACCGGAGCUAAUACCGGAUAGUUCCUUGAACCGCAUGGUUCAAGGAUGAAAGACGGUUUCGGCUGUCACUUACAGAUGGACCCGCGGCGCAUUAGCUAGUUGGUGGGGUAAUG